AUUUAUUUAUUUACUUUUCUUUCAUUCUCCUGACCACCUCUGACAUUGUUUUUAUUUUGAGGAGAUUUAAAAAUAACUUCCCUGUACUCAUUCAUCUUGCUCUCCUGAGAUAGAGGGAAUUUUCACAUUUUCCAGCCAGUUUUAAUGUAGCAGAAACAAUCAGAGGUGCUGCUGUGACUUUUGGUGUAUUAGAAAAGGGGAGGGCUGGGGCAGGUGGGCUUGGCCAAUAAAAUACAGCUGGGGAACAGGAAACUGCAGAGAGAUUUCCCAGACUUGGCCUGCGCUGCAGCCCCGCUGUGCUCUCCUGUGAAGCUGCACCAGGCCUCUGGGCUGAAUUCCCACCUGGGCUUGAGAGGGCCCUCCCAUGUUGGUCCUUCUUGCUCCCUAGUGCAAGACUUCCUUUGCCCACAACGACACUGCCUCCCAUGUACAGAACAGUGCUAUCGCUAUGACUCAUUUCUGCAUCUUGAUUGCUGAGAUCACUGAUCAGGUUUGUGACAAAACAGCAUCAAAUCUGAAGAGUUGUGUCCUCCCCGCACCACCCCCCUCGCCCCCACCAUUAUUUGCUCACCUUGAAGGUAAUCCAGGAUAGGAGUCCCUCUGAAGCAAACAGAACAUCCAUCAAAGACCCGAAAGAACAUAAGGCCUCAACUGUCAGAACAUGUAAUAAACAUAACCAGCCAGAGGACUGAGGGGAGGCAGAAGGCACACAGUUAACCACUGCAGCAGAAAGUAGCAGAAAUGAAG
rnacentral:lncRNA from 1 species